CGGACGGGUGAGUAAUGCCUAGGAAUCUGCCUGGUAGUGGGGGAUAACGUUCGGAAACGGACGCUAAUACCGCAUACGUCCUACGGGAGAAAGCAGGGGACCUUCGGGCCUUGCGCUAUCAGAUGAGCCUAGGUCGGAUUAGCUAGUUGGUGAGGUAAUGGCUCACCAAGGCGACGAUCCGUAACUGGUCUGAGAGGAUGAUCAGUCACACUGGAACUGAGACACGGUCCAGACUCCUACGGGAGGCAGCAGUGGGGAAUAUUGGACAAUGGGCGAAAGCCUGAUCCAGCCAUGCCGCGUGUGUGAAGAAGGUCUUCGGAUUGUAAAGCACUUUAAGUUGGGAGGAAGGGCAGUUGCCUAAUACGUAACUGUUUUGACGUUACCGACAGAAUAAGCACCGGCUAACUCUGUGCCAGCAGCCGCGGUAAUACAGAGGGUGCAAGCGUUAAUCGGAAUUACUGGGCGUAAAGCGCGCGUAGGUGGUUUGUUAAGUUGGAUGUGAAAUCCCCGGGCUCAACCUGGGAACUGCAUUCAAAACUGACUGACUAG
rnacentral:rRNA from 1 species